UUCGGCAAUGGACGAAAGUCUGACCGAGCAACGCCGCGUGAGUGAAGAAGGUUUUCGGAUCGUAAAGCUCUGUUGUAAGUCAAGAACGUGUGUGAGAGUGGAAAGUUCACACAGUGACGGUAGCUUACCAGAAAGGGACGGCUAACUACGUGCCAGCAGCCGCGGUAAUACGUAGGUCCCGAGCGUUGUCCGGAUUUAUUGGGCGUAAAGGGAGCGCAGGCGGUCAGGAAAGUCUGGAGUAAAAGGCUAUGGCUCAACCAUAGUGUGCUCUGGAAACUGUCUGACUUGAGUGCAGAAGGGGAGAGUGGAAUUCCAUGUGUAGCGGUGAAAUGCGUAGAUAUAUGGAGGAACACCAGUGGCGAAAGCGGCUCUCUGGUCUGUCACUGACGCUGAGGCUCGAAAGCGUGGGUAGCGAACAGGAUUAGAUACCCUGGUAGUCCACGCCGUAAACGAUGAGUGCUAGGUGUUAGGCCCUUUCCGGGGCUUAGUGCCGGAGCUAACGCAAUAAGCACUCCGCCUGGGGAGUACGACCGCAAGGUUGAAACUCAAAGGAAUUGACGGGGGCCCGCACAAGCGGUGGAGCAUGUGGUUUA
rnacentral:rRNA from 1 species